UAGGCACGCUUAAAGUUAUAACUGACAUAACUACAUCAGUUAUAACUUUAAGCGUGCCUAGG
ensembl:miRNA